rnacentral:lncRNA from 1 species
GUUUUUAAAUAAGCUGCUAGAGUGAAACAACACAGGAUUGCUCUUAUCUGCCCCUGGUGCUGUGAAUUUUUUAGCCAAAUCACAGACAGAUGGAUAGAUGAAUACGAAGCAAGUAUGAAUGUCCUACCAGUGGUUUCAUUUCAGAUGGCAAGUGUUUUCCCAGUGGUGAUCUACGUUCCUAAGUCUGAUGCAUGCAUGUUGUUGUUGCUUGGAGAAUCAGCUGUGAUUAUUCAAUUGUCUGAGAAAGUUCUGUUAAAUCAUGUAAGUUCUCUUACAGCAUUUAUUUUGAAAUAAUAAGGUAAAAAGUUCAGUCAGAUCAGUAAUUUCCUUUAGCUUGUGAAGUUCACCAGAAAACAUGAAGAGAGAAAUACAGAUUAGAACCACAGUUUUCAAGCCAGGUAGUCUUAAGCCCAAAUUCCUAAAUGUGGUUUUAGACUUGAACUUUAUGUAUCUGAGCCUGAAAAUAUUGGCCUUGUUUAAUAUUCCUAUUGAGGAUUGAUUAAUGUAUAGUCAGGAUGUUUUUCCCUACAGCCAGCCUAUAAACGUUACCUUUCUAAAGUUCAGCCCAUACUUACUUGGUUUAUCUUUAAACAAUUUAUCUUCCUUCCCUACACUUUUUAAAUAUUUCAGACUAUUUCAGUUUGUGAAACUGUUGUGAAACUGAUGAUCUGGGGCUAAAGCUUCUCCCGGGUAUGAGGGGUAGCUGGAGCAGGGGACAGCCUUUGUUUAAACAGAAAAGGAUGAAAUUUUAGCCCCGUCAGAGUCAGUGGAAGCUUUGCUGCUGGCUUCCACAUGGCCUGGAUUUUAC